AAAAAUUGAAAAUGGAUUUAAGUAGGCUUUUUAUCUGUUUCUCCAAGCGCUAAAGUAAAGGAGGAAGGGUUUUGGAGCACGUUACUCAUGCGUGGUUCUGCUAUGCAUUCAGGCUAUAAGGAAAACUAAUUGAAACCAAGAAUGCGGAGGUAUUUAUGAGUUAAGUUGAGAAUCAAGGAGUUCUGCCAUGGUUGAUGAACGACAAUUUCUAUAGAGUUUCAACAAAGAGAGUAAACCAAGAUACUAUUAACCUGGCCGGAUUUGGAUUUGUUUAAGUUCAGAUUUGGAGCUUUGGGUCAUAUUUUUUUCCCCUUUUCAUGUUUGUGUAUAGGGACAUCACAGGGGCCAAUUUGCUUGUCGAUUCUGCUGGUCUUGUUAAGCUUGCUGAUUUUGGGAUGGCUAAGCAUGCGAGUUCUAAGUCUCCCCCUCUAUAAUCCUUACAUUCGGGUAGAAUAACUUGGAAUCUCUAUGUUCCGAGGCUAACUGGAUAUGAAGCUAAUCUUUCUUUGAAAGGAAGUCCAUACUGGAUGGCUCCAGAGGUACAUUCUUACUCUACAUUACUCUGUGCUGUCUCAUACAUUAAUUACUUAGUAACACUUAAAUUCUCAUUUAGCUUUUGCAGGCUGUGAUGCAAAAGGAUAACAGCUCUGAUCUAGCUUUUGCUAUUAAUAUUUGGAGUUUGGGUUGUAUAAUCAUUGAAAUGUUCACAGGGAUGCCUCCUUGGAGCAAGUAUGAAGGAGUAAAAGCCUGCAGAAAAUUCUCUUAUGUCUUUUUUGAUUUGUUAUUCCCAGGCUACUUCAGUAACCAUAUAGUAUAAGAUUUCUCGUAGGUUAUAGAUCCCCAAUAAUUUUUUGUUCCAUUUUCUUUUUUGAUUCUCUAAAAUAAUUUUUACAGAUAUGUGACAUGGUUGCUAUUGCAAGAUAUUUGAAUGUCACGCUUAUAGUCCUACUCUUUUACAGAUAUGUGACAUGGUUGCUAUUACAACUAAAGCAUCCUUUUGGGCUGAUCCCAGGAACCAGAGGAGAUCCCUUGGACUGAGACUGGAGCUGAAAUUAUUGUUGAGUCCACUAGAGUUUUCACAGAUAAGGAAAAGGCCGCUGCACAUUUGAAGGUAUGAUAUGGUAGAUGGCAUUUCAAAGGACUAGGAUGGCAUACAAGAACAAAUCCUAAAUAUAAGGAAAAUUUGUACUACCAUAUUUUUUUAUGGAAUUGAGAAGAUAUUUUUUUGUAUAGCUGUCCCAUAAGUAAACUUUUUAUUAGUUAUAUUUGGCAUUUUUUUCCCUCUAUGAUAUUGGUAGAAAGCUUCGUUAGCUUGUAUAAAUUGAAAACAUGAUGGGGCUUGUAC